rnacentral:lncRNA from 1 species
GGCCACUUUACUAUAUGAUAAUAAAAGUUGGGUUUAUAUCCUUGCAGAAGAUCAAACAUCUUACUCCAGUGAUGCAGGCUAUUUCUUAUUCAUGGAAAUUUGGCCUUAAUCAGUUGAUGUAUUGUCAAUUGACAUUCUAAAUACAUUUUGCUGAAAGUGACUUCCUUAUCAUGUCGUCUUGCAUUCCUUCGUUUCCACAGUUCCCACAUGACAAUAGCAGGAAUUGCUUUCAUAAUAUGUUGCAACUUAGGAUAUGACUCAUAUUCCCACCACUUUGAUAGUAGCUGGUGUAUAUUUAGGCCAUCAAUGCUAAAACAUGCGCAAG